UUGAUCAUGGCUCAGGACGAACGCUGGCGGCGUGCUUAACACAUGCAAGUCGAACGAUGAAGCCUAGCUUGCUAGGUGGAUUAGUGGCGAACGGGUGAGUAAUACGUGAGUGACCUACCUUUGACUCUGGGAUAAGCCUGGGAAACUGGGUCUAAUACCGGAUACGACCAAUCUCCGCAUGGGGUGUUGGUGGAAAGCGUUAUGGAGUGGUUUUAGAUGGGCUCACGGCCUAUCAGCUUGUUGGUGAGGUAAUGGCUUACCAAGGCGACGACGGGUAGCCGGCCUGAGAGGGUGACCGGCCACACUGGGACUGAGACACGGCCCAGACUCCUACGGGAGGCAGCAGUGGGGAAUAUUGCACAAUGGGCGCAAGCCUGAUGCAGCGACGCCGCGUGAGGGAUGACGGCCUUCGGGUUGUAAACCUCUGUUAGCAUCGAAGAAGCGAAAGUGACGGUAGGUGCAGAGAAAGCGCCGGCUAACUACGUGCCAGCAGCCGCGGUAAUACGUAGGGCGCGAGCGUUGUCCGGAAUUAUUGGGCGUAAAGAGCUUGUAGGCGGUUGGUCGCGUCUGCUGUGAAAGGCUGGGGCUUAACCCUGGUUUUGCAGUGGGUACGGGCUAACUAGAGUGCAGUAGGGGAGACUGGAAUUCCUGGUGUAGCGGUGGAAUGCGCAGAUAUCAGGAGGAACACCGAUGGCGAAGGCAGGUCUCUGGGCUGUAACUGACGCUGAGAAGCGAAAGCAUGGGGAGCGAACAGGAUUAGAUACCCUGGUAGUCCAUGCCGUAAACGUUGGGCACUAGGUGUGGGGGACAUUCCACGUUUUCCGCGCCGUAGCUAACGCAUUAAGUGCCCCGCCUGGGGAGUACGGCCGCAAGGCUAAAACUCAAAGAAAUUGACGGGGGCCCGCACAAGCGGCGGAGCAUGCGGAUUAAUUCGAUGCAACGCGAAGAACCUUACCAAGGCUUGACAUAUACUGGACUGCGUCAGAGAUGGCGUUUCCCUUCGGGGCUGGUAUACAGGUGGUGCAUGGUUGUCGUCAGCUCGUGUCGUGAGAUGUUGGGCUAAGUCCCGCAACGAGCGCAACCCUUGUCUUAUGUUGCCAGCACAUUUUUGGUGGGGACUCAUGAGAAACUGCCGGGGUCAACUCGGAGGAAGGUGGGGAUGACGUCAAAUCAUCAUGCCCUUUAUACCCAGGGCUUCACACAUGCUACAAUGGUCGGUACAACGGGUUGCGACACUGUGAAGUGAAGCUAAUCUCUCAAAGCCGGCCUCAGUUCGGAUUGGGGUCUGCAACUCGACCCCAUGAAGUCGGAGUCGCUAGUAAUCGCAGAUCAGCAACGCUGCGGUGAAUACGUUCCCGGGCCUUGCACACACCGCCCGUC
rnacentral:rRNA from 1 species